rnacentral:rRNA from 1 species
AUUUUAUGUAGAAAUCGAAGGAGUAUAGUGUAUAGAAUAUUUGGUGUAGGUGAUUUAUAGUGUAUUAGUACUGUAAAGUGACUGUGAAAUAUAUUGAAAUAUUUAAAUUUAGGUGGAAGUAGAAUAAUAUUUUGUACCUUGUGUAUCAGGGUUUAUUAAGUAAAUUUUAUUGAAAUUAAUGUUCCCGAAGUAAAAGGAGUUAGAAUUGUAUGAGUUGGUUAAGGUGGUAAACUUAUCGUUAAUAUAAUUUUUGUAGUGAUAUGUUAGGCGGUUUUUAUGAUAUCUGGUUUUCUAAGAAAUGAAUUGAAUUUAAUUUAUAUUUAGUGUAUUUCUUUUUUGAUGAUGAAUGAUUUAUUUGGUAUAAUAACUAUCUUUGAGGAUAAGCUGAGAGGUAAUAGUUAUAAAAGGUUUUUGAUCUAUUAAGGUUAUAGGCUUUAAAUUAGCUUUUUAUUUAAUAUUGUUAUAAGUUAGUUAUGGUUAGGUUUUAAAUGAUUUAUUAUUUUUUUAAAUUGUUUAUUAGAAUGAAGUAGUUAAUAAUAUUAAUUAUUUGAAAUUAUGAUAAAAUGAGUAUAAAUUUAAUGUUUGUUAUUAAGUUUUUAAUAAUUAUAUUUAAGGAACUAGGCAAAAAUUUAUUCGCACGUUUAUCAAAAACAUCUCUUUUUGAAUUUAUAAAAGGUAGGGCCUGCCCACUGAUUGGUUGAAGGGCCGCGGUAAUUUGACCGUGCAAAGGUAGCAAAAUCAUUAGUCUUUUAAUUGGAGGCUGGAAUGAAAGGUUUGAUGAAAUAAAAACUGUCUCGAUGUUAGUAGUAGAAAUUAACUUUUUAGUUAAAAGGCUAAGAUAAGAGUAGAGGACGAGAAGACCCUAUAGAGUUUUACUUUAUGAUAAUAUAAAUUUUGAAUAGAUAGUGUUGUAAUGUUUAUUUAUGGUAGAGUUUUGUUGGGGUGACAUGAAGGAUUGAAAAGCUCUUUAUUGUAUUAUAACAUUAAUAAGUGGGUAGUUGAUCCAAUUUUAUUGAUUAUAAGAUUAAAUUACCUUAGGGAUAACAGCGUAAUUUUUUUUGAGAGUUCUUAUCGACAAGGAAGAUUGCGACCUCGAUGUUGGAUUAAGGUUAUUUUUAGGUGUAGAGGCUUAGGAAAUAAGUCUGUUCGACUUUUAAAUUCUUACAUGAUCUGAGUUCAGACCGGCGUGAGCCAGGUCGGUUUCUAUCCUUAUUAAUGGAAAAGGCUUUAGUACGAGAGGACCAAGUUUUUAAAAUAAUUUUUAUUAUAGGAUAAUA